GAACGCUGGCGGCGUGCUUAACACAUGCAAGUCGAGCGGAAAGGCCCUUCGGGGUACUCGAGCGGCGAACGGGUGAGUAACACGUGAGCAACCUGCCCCUGACUNUGGGAUAAGCCCGGGAAACUGGGUCUAAUACCGGAUACGACCGCCCCCGGCAUCGGGUGGUGGUGGAAAGUUUUUUCGGUUGGGGAUGGGCUCGCGGCCUAUCAGCUUGUUGGUGGGGUAGUGGCCUACCAAGGCGACGACGGGUAGCCGGCCUGAGAGGGCGACCGGCCACACUGGGACUGAGACACGGCCCAGACUCCUACGGGAGGCAGCAGUGGGGAAUAUUGCGCAAUGGGCGGAAGCCUGACGCAGCGACGCCGCGUGGGGGAUGACGGCCUUCGGGUUGUAAACCUCUUUCAGCAGGGACGAAGUUGACGUGUACCUGCAGAAGAAGCGCCGGCUAACUACGUGCCAGCAGCCGCGGUAAUACGUAGGGCGCAAGCGUUGUCCGGAAUUAUUGGGCGUAAAGAGCUCGUAGGUGGCUG
rnacentral:rRNA from 1 species